ACCCCUCUCAACUGAUCUCUCUGCGAGACAUGUUAGUGUGCUUUCGUGUAAUAUAUAAUGAACUUGAAAAUUAAGGGUUCCAGCUUGGUUGCACUAUCUCGUGGAGAUCUGGGAGCACGCCCUGUGCUGUACAGUCGGCGGCUGUUAAAGUUUCAAAUGUCUUAAAUAACUGUAAAACAAUGCACGCAUAGUUACAAUUGUCAAUAAUUUGGAGCGAAAAAAAAUUGGAUUCUGAUGUGUUUGUUUAUUGGAAUAUACGCAUGGAACCUCAACGAAUGUUUUGAACCUGGAAUUGGGAACAAACUACACAGCGGUGUUUGCAGGCUGACGGUGCCUCUGGUGAUCAGAUUUCCUUGUCAUCAGUUUCCUUAAGAUUCUGGAAAGGAUGGACCUUGUUGGAUUGUUGUGAGUUCAUAUAUUUUGUGUAAAAGCUGAAAGAUGCGCAAUAACAGUAACCCUACUGACAUGCAAAGGAUACACGGUCGUUUACAAAGGUGAAGAGAGUCAGCUAAUGAAGCGUGGGGGACCCUACAGCACAUGACAUUGCAUCACGUGACAGCAAGAGAUAAGAGACAGAGGAGCUAAUGUGCAGUUCAUCAGCGCAGUGUUGAAGGUUGGAACUUCAAACUUCACAAAGCACAGUCAGCACAUAAGAGGAGACAAGCUGCGAGUGG